rnacentral:rRNA from 1 species
AGGAAGGGAAGUAUGUAGGUAAGGGAAGUCACCCCCGAUGCACGGGCGCCCAGUGGGCCAUUCUUGGUAAGCAGGACUGGCGCUGCGGGAUGAACCGAACGCCGGGUUACGGCGCCGCAUUGCGGCCGACGCUCAUCAAGAGCCCAGAAAAGGCGUUGGUUGAUACAGACAGCAGGACGGGGGCCAUGGAAGUCGGAAUCCGCUAAGGAGUGUGUAACAACUCACCUGCCGAAUCAACUAGCCCUGAAAAUGGAUGGCGCUGAGCGUGCCGCCCAUACCCGGCCGUCGGGGCAGAGAGCGAGGACCGCCGCCCGGGUGGUACGCCCCGACGAGUAGAGGGCCGCCGCGGUGCGCGUCAAAGCGCCGGCCGCGAGGCCGCGUGGAGCCGCCGCGGGCGCAGAUCUUGGUGGUAGUAGCAAAUAUUCGAGUGAGAUCCUCGAGGGCCGAGUGGCGGAGAAGGGUUCCAUGUGAACAGCAGUUGUACAUGGGUCAGUCGAUCCUAAGCCCCAGGGAAGUUCCGCUCCGAGCGGAGGCGGGCGCCCCCCUCCUCGCGAGGCCGGGGCCUCGCCCCCCGGGCGAAAGGGAAUCGGGUCAAUAUUCCCGAACCCGGAGGCGGAGCCCUCCGUCCUUCGUGGCGGUCCGAGCUGCAAAGCAAGCGAGCCCGCAGACGCCGGCCGGGGCCCCGGGAAGAGUUUUCUUUUCUUGGUAAGGGGCGGGAUCCCUGGAAUCGGCUUGUCCGGAGCUAGGGGCUGCGGCCCCGUAGAGCGCCGCGUCUCCGGCGGCGUCCGGCGAGCUCCGGCCGGCCCUUGAAAAUGCGGGGGAGUGCGUGGACCGUCGCCUCGGGUCGUACCCAUAACCGCACC